UACGUAGGGAGCAAGCGUUAUCCGGAUUUAUUGGGUGUAAAGGGUACGUAGGCGGUUUAAUAAGUCCAUGGUUUAAUCCCGAAGCUUAACUUCGGCGCGCCAUGGAAACUGUUAAACUUGAGUAUGGUAGAGGCAAGUGGAAUUUCUAGUGUAGCGGUUAAAUGCGUAGAUAUUAGAAGGAACACCAGUGGCGAAGGCGACUUGCUGGGCCAUUACUGACGCUGAGGUACGAAAGCGUGGGGAGC
rnacentral:rRNA from 1 species